rnacentral:rRNA from 1 species
ACACGAAGUUAAACGUGCUUGGGUGAGAGUAGUACUAAGAUAGGUGACAUCUUGGGAAGUCCUCGUGUUGCACCUC